CGGUGACCGAUCGAUCGGCACACCUCUAAUCAGUAUAAAAGAGUGAACUUUGAUUUGGACUCCGUCUGCUUUUGCUCUACAAUUUUCUGAAUAUUUAUAAGUGAAUGCUGCCAGCUUAUAUUCAUAAAACCUUAACAUGUAGAAAUCAUCCUGUGUAUGGGCAAAAAGAAGAAAUAAAUUGUUCUUGGUGGCCCACACUUCACCGGUAAUAUGAGCUAUGAUGCACUGGUGGAAAAUCUAAACUGCGUUUCAUAGUUAAUUGAAACACUGCAAUUGUGAAUCUUAAAAUAGAAAUAUAGACAAAGUUUGUCAUACAUUUGUGAUGGAAACCAAAAUAAUAGACAAGAAGAAAAGGAAACAGGAACGGGAUGAUCUAACAUCUGGAGAGUUGAUUCCUAAAUAAGGAGCAAGUGAUUGAUUAGGAAGUGGUUACAGCUGUGACUAAAGACAAGGAAGGAACUGAAGACAGACAUUGAAACAAACUAGAAACAUAAGAAAAAUAGUUACGAUUAGAACCAAAAGGGUGACUUAAAAAAAACACAGAACUGAAACAAGAACUAAGAAAUACAGAUAAAUGACUGCUAUGCGAUGAAAAUAAAUAAGCAGAAGGAACUGAGAAAACCCCCCACAAUAAAAUCAAUAUUUAACAAUAUUUUUUAAUUCACCAUCUUAAUGAGCAAUGCUCAACAAAUCUUACAGACAGGGGACAUCAGUAGUUUACAAUUGAUUCAAAAUGUAAAUUAGAGAUUGAAAGUAAACCCAGAGUUUGGUGUCAUGUUGA